AGCAGCCGCGGUAAUUCCAGCUCCAAUAGCGUAUAUUAAAGUUGUUGCAGUUAAAAAGCUCGUAGUUGAAUUUCGGGGUUAGUAGGUUGGUCAUGCCUCUGGUAUGUACUGGUCUCACUGAUUCCUCCUUCCUGAUGAACCGUAAUGCCAUUAAUUUGGUGUUGCGGGGAAUCAGGACUGUUACUUUGAAAAAAUUAGAGUGUUUAAAGCAGGCUCGCGCUUGAAUACAUUAGCAUGGAAUAAUGAAAUAGGACGUUUGAUUCUAUUUUGUUGGUUUCUAGGAUCGACGUAAUGAUUAAUAGGGAUAGUUGGGGGCAUUAGUAUUCAAUUGUCAGAGGUGAAAUUCUUGGAUUUAUUGAAGACUAACUACUGCGAAAGCAUUUGCCAAGGAUGUUUUCAUUAAUCAAGAACGAAAGUUAGGGGAUCGAAGACGAUCAGAUACCGUCGUAGUCUUAACCAUAAACUAUGCCGACUAGGGAUCGGAUGAUGUUGAUUUUUUAAUGACUCAUUC
rnacentral:sRNA from 1 species